CGUUGGGCCCAGUCUGAAAUACGAAAUGGAUUUAGAGUGCCGUUUAUGGUAUGGUUGGAUUUAGAGUACCGUUUCUACGUAUAGGGCCCAGUCUGAAAUACGAAAUGAACAGUUGGAAACUAUACUAGGAAUAAAACCAAGAAAAUAUUUCGAUUUGUCCUUAAGUGCGUCACCAAGUUUAGUCGUUUCCGUUAUACUACUUUCACACUAUAAACGUCUAAGACGUCCAAGGCCUCUGUUUAGUAAGUGGCGAGGGG